GCGAAUUUAGGGGUGGCAGGCCCGAUCCUUUUAAAAUAAAAAUUUGUUAUUUAGGCCAUUUGAAAAUUUUUAAAAUUUUAAAUUAGCAGAAGUAAAAUUGUACUUUGGCCUUCCUUAAAAUUAUAAAAAAAAUUUGAUUUAAUCCUUUAAAAAUUAUAAAUAUAUAGUAUUAAAAAUUAAAAUUUCAUUUCAGCCCCCAAAAAAUUUUUCUAACUUGGUCCCUGACUUAUUGC
rnacentral:lncRNA from 1 species